rnacentral:rRNA from 1 species
CUAGGUCCCAGCUCAGAUUGCAGGCUGCAACCCGCCUGCAUGAAGUCGGAAUUGCUAGUAAUCGCGGAUCAGCAUGCCGCGGUGAAUACGUUCCCGGGCCUUGUACACACCGCCCGUCACACCAUGGGAGCCGGUAAUACCCGAAGUCAGUAGUCCAACCACGUGAGGACGCUGCCGAAGGUAGGAUUGGCGACUGGGGUGAAGUCGUAACAAGGUAGC